rnacentral:lncRNA from 1 species
GUGAAAUUCUACCAGUCACAGAAACCUAAAGAAAUGUAAGACAUUGAUAUUCACUGAUAAAUCCUUUGUAGCUCAGCUUGGACGUCCUGGUGGGACUUUAGGUACAGGAGGAUUGCCAGGUGGAGCAGCCGGUGUGUCUGGUGUUGGACUUGGUGGACUACCUGGUGGUGGUCUUGGGAUUGGUGGACAACCUGGAGGCGGAUUUGGAGGGCUACCUGGAGGUGGAUUUGGUGGAUUACCUGGUGGAGGAGCUGGUGGACUGCCUUUUGGAGUUGGUGGUCUUCCUAGCGGUGGUGCUGGAGGACUCCCCAGCUCUGGAAAUGGAUAUGCAGAGGCAAAAGCUCGUAAAUAUGGUCUACUCGGUGGAGGUGCUGGUUUAGGCCCAGGCACUGGAUUAGCUGCAGGUAUUCCAGGUGGAUUACCAGGCACUGGUGUCAGACCAGGUGGGGCAGGGAUUAUACUAGGAACUGGGGCUGGACAAGGAGGUGUCCCUGGUGUGGGUUUUGGUCCAGGAGGUGUACCCGGAGGUGGGCUUGGACCUGGUAGUGUUCCUGGAAGUGCAUUUGGACCUGGAGGAUAUGCUGGGGCCAAAGCUCGCAAAUAUGGUAUGGCAAAGUUAAAUAAUCUCCAAAUUUUAUUAUCCAUG